ACUUUUUAACCAUUCUGACCGCCAUUAGCUAAAACCCUAACAUUACCAAGAAAAAAUAUCGAACUGGUCUUUGAGACAAUAGACUGAUAAUUAAAAGUUUAUUUCCUUAAAGCGAACUAGUAAAUUAAAGAAUACAACAAAGCUGCUCUUAACCAAUGCAAGCUUAACAAUACUUGAAAGAAAUAAGGUUUAUAUAUACUUGUUUUGAUGCAAUAAAGAUGAAAUUGAAACUAUUUCCCAAUUUAUACAACUGCAAGAAACAGAUGCAAAAAUGUUUUCUUCUGCAUCUCAAAUCUGGACAAAGAGAAAAGCUGCUAUAGGGCUGACUUUAUCUGUUCAAUCAGCGCUUUAAGAUAUUGCAAAUCCAACAAGCUGAUAAACUUUAAUUUCUUCAGAAUCCUGAAAUAGGAAUUAAGUUUUACAGACCUGAAACUUUAAAAAAGUCAUAAUAAACAAACAAAUAUUAGUAGAUUUGGCAAAUCAAACAAGGAAUGAAGCUAUACAGUAGCUACAAAUAUAUUCCAUAUUUUUUCCUUCAGAUCCCAUAAAUAGAAAAGAAGAUCAGAUCUAGAGACCUGGAUAUUAAAAUCAGAUAUUAGAUCUCUACUAAUAAACAUAAAAGAAAUUAAAGACAAGAAUACAAAUCUGGUGAAAUGAAUGUAGAGCUCCCUUCAAUCCAAAAAGGGAUCCAACUUAGGGCAAUGAAGCUCCUGACAUAUGCAACCCACAAACCUAUCCAAUCAAAUAAUAGAUAGGACUGAGGAAUCCAUAGGUCAGCAGCUUAAUCUUACCUGUUAGAUCCUCUGUUGGACUUCAAGGAGCUCCACUCUCAAAACCCUAAAACAUUCUUAUAUCACAUAAAAAGACAAAAAAGGUCAACCUAAAUCCUGUCCUAAAACUGCCCAAAAACUGUCUCCAACUUCCAUCUCAAAACAACCCUAAACACAAACCUCACAUAUCAACAAAAGAAAAACGAUCAAAACCCAGAAAACCACAAGGUUUCUUGAAUCGAUCUACAUAUAUAUACAGAUAUAUGAUACAGGAAGGAAAAAAAGACUGAGAAAAGAUACCUAGUUGGGGGAAAAGGGAGUAAAAAAAUCAGGAAAAUGAAUUUAGAAACAACUCGAACCAGCUAAUAAGAUGAAACAGCAAAAAGAAGAGAGAUGUGAGAAUUGUUGAAAGGAGAGGGGAGUAUAUAUAAUGGGUGAAGGAAAUGAGAUAUGGUAAGUAAGGGUAGUGCUUGUAUUUUGGGUUUCUUUUGUUUGGUAAGAGAGUGAAAGCAUUGGGGAGUGUGGGGGCAAAUUAAAGUUUUUUUUUUAUGUGAUUACUAUUGCCUUAGCUUGCACCCAAAUCUAUGUAGUCCUUUGGAUUAAUUGAUUAUUAGAUUCUCUUCACACAUUUUGAAAUAUCACAUGCUCUUGUCACCCAAAGUAACCUACAAAUUUA
rnacentral:lncRNA from 1 species